rnacentral:rRNA from 1 species
CAGAGGGUGCAAACGUUGUUCGGAAUUACUGGGCGUAAAGCGUGUGUAGGCGGUCUUGUAAGUCGGGUGUGAAAGCCCUGGGCUCAACCCAGGAAGUGCACUCGAAACUGCGAGGCUAGAGUACUGGAGAGGUUGGUGGAAUUCUCGGUGUAGAGGUGAAAUUCGUAGAUAUCGAGAGGAACACCGGUGGCGAAGGCGGCCAACUGGACAGAUACUGACGCUGAGACACGAAAGCGUGGGGAGCAAACAGGAUUAGAUACCCUGGUAGUCCACGCCGUAAACGAUGGGUGCUAGGUGUCGCGGGCUUUGACUCCUGCGGUGCCGUAGCUAACGCAUUAAGCCACCCCGCCUGGGAAGUACGGCCGCAAGGACU